rnacentral:rRNA from 1 species
AUGAAUCCCUUAAGCUGGAACUGCCGGGGUCUAGGCAACGCCCCGACAGUUCAAGAGCUACGCGAAAUUGCGUUAAAGUUUGCCCCUAAAGUACUUUGCAUAUUGGAAACUCAAAUAGGCCAAGAUAGAGCUGAAAGCUUAGCAAGUACCUUAGGAUAUUAUUGUUCUUUUGCUGUUGGUUCCACCGGGCGUAGUGGUGGUUUAGUCUUGUACCGGAAUAAUGAAAUAAAGAUCGAAAAUUUGGGUUACUCGCAGUACCAUAUUGAUGUGAAGGUGUCAGAACUGGAGGGAACCCGUGGAGCCUCUCAUGCUUCUAUGGAGAAGCCCAAAUGCACCUCCGACACCGAACUUGGGAUACAAUGA